UACGAAGGGUGCAAACGUUGCUCGGAAUUAUUGGGCGUAAAGCGCACGUAGGCGGCUUAGCAAGUCGGAAGUGAAAUCCCACGGCUCAACCAUGGAAGUGCUUUCGAAACUGCUGAGCUUGAGUACGAAAGAGGAUCGCGGAAUUCCCGGUGUAGAGGUGAAAUUCGUAGAUACCGGGAGGAACACCAGUGGCGAAGGCGGCGAUCUGGGUCGAUACUGACGCUGAGGUGCGAAAGCGUGGGGAGCAAACAGG
rnacentral:rRNA from 1 species